rnacentral:ncRNA from 1 species
ACGAAAACGUUGACGGGAAAUAGUAAUAGAUGUUCAAUGCCAAGAGAGUCGAUGUAUGGUGUGAAUCGAUCAUUGAGCCCUGUGAAUCCAUCCCUGAGUAGAAAGCUGAAUGAAGUACGCUUUCUCGGAGCAGACCGUUAUUCUGUUAAGAGGCAGGCAAUUGUCUGCAAUCAGGGUGGCAACGCGGGUAGCUCUCGUCCCUUUA